CCGAUUUCAAUAAGCGCGUUGCGCUGCACGACCCGGGAGCAAUCCGGACCCGGACGUGUGGCUCAGAGACGCCUCGGGAAUGAAAGAACGACUCGGAGGCAGAACACGAGGCAGCUCGCAUCCACUGCAGUCAUCAUGGGAUCGAGGCCUGCGACGACGUCUCCUGCUGUGAACUGUGUCGGAAAUCAGAGAUCACACAAAGCGGUGUUACAGUGUGUGUGUGUGUGUGUGUGUGUGUGUGUGUGGAGUCUUUUGCUAUGUCAACCAUGAUCUGAUGUGUGAAAGAUGAAUUUAGAACAGCCGGCGAGCCGUUAUGCUUUGAUUUAGAGAGCUAAACAUUCAUACAUUCAUUACAUUCUGUGCAACUGUUCUGAUUUAAUUAGAGAAGAAGACAGAGGUAGAGAUGCCAUGCCUUCUUUCCUGGGACUAAUAAGCAAAUAGGCCACACCUCCUUCACUGACACUACAGACACAUAAACUAUGCCUCCUUCUUUAAGACUGAAAGACACAUAGGCCACACCUCUUUCAUUAAGCCCAAAAGACACAUAGGUCACGCCUCCUUCAUUAAGACUGAAAUACAUAUAGGCUACGUCUCGUUCAUUAAGACUGAAAGACACGUCGGCCACGCCUCCUUCAUUAAGACUGAAAUACAUAUAGGCUACGUCUCGUUCAUUAAGACUGAAAGACACGUCGGCCACGCCUCCUUCAUAAAGACUGAAAGACACAUAGGCCACGUCUCGUUCAUUAAGAUUGAAAGACACGUCAGCCACGCCUCCUUCAUAAAGUCUGAAAGACACAUAGGCCACACCUCCUUCAUUAAGACUGAAAGACACAUAGGCCACACCUCCUUCAUUAAGACUGAAAGAGACAUAGGCCACACCUCCUUCAUUAAGACUGAAAGAGACAUAGGCCACACCUCCUUCAUAAAGACUGAAAGAGACAUAGGCCACACCUCCUUCAUUAAGACUGAAAGACACAUAGGCCACACCUCCUUCAUUAAGACUGAAAGACACAUAGGCCACACCUCCUUCAUAAAGACUGAAAGACACAUAGGCCACACCUCCUUCAUUAAGACUGAAAGAGACAUAGGCCACACCUCCUUCAUUAAGACUGAAAGACACAUAGGCCACACCUCCUUCAUUAAGACUGAAAGACACAUAGGCCACACCUCCUUCAUUAAGACUGAAAGACACAUAGACCACUCCAGCUUCACUUAGACUGACACACAAAUGGGCCUGACACACACACACACACACACACACACACACACACAGCCACAAAGGGAUCAGAAAUUUCAUUUGAUUUAUUAACAGUCUGUUCGUGUGUGUGUGUGUGUGUGUGUGUGUGUGUGUGUGUGUGUGAUCAAUGAUCCCGUUAGCUCAUCUGAGGCUUCACUAAUUCUGCAGGCUGCAUGUGUUAGCACUUGAUAACACACAAUUGAUUAUUAAUGCAUUAUUAAUACUGCUGGAAACACACACACACACACACACACACACACACACACACACACACACACACACACACACACACAUACACACACACACACAAAGUGCUCUCUGAUGAAACAGUCUGAUGCCAGGGGCCAAGUGUGUCCAUUGGAACAGUGAACACAGCACAUCAAUUCAGGAGCACAGGCAAAUUAAACUCGGCAAGAGCAAGAGCCACAAACACACCUGGACAAGCAAACAGUGUGACAGUGCCAGCUCCACACACACACACACACACACACACACACACACACACACACACAGAAGGGUCCUUAUUAUUAACAAAAACUGACAACAAUUUAUCAACUGUAUUUAUAUGUAAAAAUACAAACGGAACAAAACCAUUUUAAAGGUGCAGUCAGUGAUUUUGCGAAAGUCGUUUUUGCAACUCAAAACAUCAAACAGAUACGAUUACCUUCAAAGCCACACCCCAAGAACACAUACACACACAAGCCAAAACACCUGAACACUGGUGCGAGAGGCGGAGCUUUCUGACCUCACAUGGAAGACGACUGACAGGUGAGCAGAGAUGACUCUUUGCUCUGAUUGGUUGGAUAUCUGAUGUCCCACAUGACAUGUUUUUUUUCCUCUAGAGUUUCUCGUCUGAGCUGAAAAUUUAUUGAAGCUGACAGAAAAUAUAAAGAGUCGCUUCCUGGAGUUUGAGUCCCAGCACCAAAGUUCUCACUCACUCACUCGAUCUCUCUCUCUCUCUCUCUCGCUCUCUCUCUCGCGCUCUCUCUCUCUCUCGCUCUCUCUCAGCAGAUGGUGUGUUAGUGUCUGUGCUCUCGGCCACUGUGGCUCUGUGACCUGCUUCGAUCCUCCGCCCUUUGCAGGCUUAACUACACCCCCGUUAGCAAAGCCGCUCCCGCUGAUACACACAAACAUCUACAGCACACAUACACGCACACACAAACACACACACACACGGCGUGAGUUUGUACACAGCGCCUGCCCCCACGUUGCGUGACAAAUUUAGGGGAAUCGUACACAUAUGGCGCCAGUUGGUGCGCGGCCGUCCGUGAGCGCAGGGUGAGAGGUUUUUCAGUGUCAGUGUGAGCAGGAUGCAGUACUCACCUUGAGCAGAGGGGGCGAUGUUACUGAGGGUGACGGCACAGGUACACAGCAACCACAGGGCCAGAGCCAUGAUGGAGGGACAAGACGGCCUGGGGGGAUAACAGCCUGCAGCUUCAGAGGGCCUCACUCCCUCCGUACAGGGGCGAACCUGGGAGCGGGAGAGAGAGACACAGUAAAAGAGAGA
ensembl:lncRNA